rnacentral:tRNA from 1 species
CCGAAUAUAGCUCAGCGGUAGAGCGGGAGACUGUAGUAAGCUGUUAUCUCUAGGUCCCUGGUUCAAAUCCGGGUGUUCGGA